rnacentral:rRNA from 1 species
AUGGCUAGAGUCUCCAUCUCCGGGGUCGGCGGCACCUUCUCGCUGCACAAGACAAAGACGGCAAGCCGCCCCAAGGCCACGCCCGUGGCUCGCGCGGCAGAAAUCCUGGUCUGUCACUCUCUCGGCAUCGUCAAGGAUGGAGAGGACAUCACCACCGCAGCCUUGGACGCCUUCGUGGACCGCUUCAAGGAGCAUCUAUCGCCGGAGGUGCUCACAGCCAUGAGAGGCCUGUUUAAGCUAGACGACGCCAAUGCAGAUGCUGUGGAGGAAGCUCUCCUGGAGCAUGGAGGAGGAGGCGCGCUGGACCUGGAGAGGGCCGACGAGGAGGCCGUGCUGUAG